rnacentral:tRNA from 1 species
GCCCGAGUAGCUCAGCUGGUGGAGCGUCCGACUGUUAAUCGGAAGGUCACAGGUUCAAAUCCUGUCUCGGGCG